UGUACAUUAGGCAGGAAGAACCCAUCAGGCGGUUACAUCUGCAGGAUGGUGCCAGUUCUUUCCACAAAGGCUGGUCAGAUACCCAGAAAGUAUUUCUCCACUACUGCCUGGACAAUGUGUCUCCCUGUCAAUCUCCAGGGAAUGGGGCCUGGAUCAAGUAUUUAGCAUUCAGCAGUUACUACACGGUCACAUAAUCCCUCAUUUUUAAUAUUUUGCCAUGCCUUCCAGUGGCCUAACUGGUCACCAUGCCACAGAAUCUUUACUUUAUGAUCUCCAAGGAGAACUCUCCACUCCAUGUUUUGUGAUUUGAGCAAUGGAAUAGAAUCUGAUACUGGUGGGAUGCGGGAGGUCCCCAGACACUGGGGGAAUCUCGACCCCAGCUGUGUUGUCCAGGCUCUUGACACCACCUCAAGAAUGAAGUGAAGGAUGAGUCAGCAAAUAGUGAAAGAAGAGAUUUAUUGCAAAGCAAAAAGUACGCACUCAAGAAAGGGGAGUUUGGGUAUAUCCAAGACAGAACAAUGGGUUCUGGGGUUUCAUCUUGAUGGGUUUCUUCAACCAAGGAGUGGAAUAUUCAUGAAAAUUCCCAGGUAAAAGUGGAAAUUUCUCGGAACUGUGGUGCGAUCCAUUUUUACAUCAAAUAAUGAUCUCAGAACCGUCAUGGCACUGAAUAUAAAAAACUAACACAAGGUAAGGGCUAAGGUCUGGAGAUGGCUGCCCAAGAGAUGACAAAGUCCAACACCACGCUUGAGAGUGUCCAAUCAUCUCUUCUGGGGCAGCAUAUUUCUCUACAAUCCUGAAUUUGGAAAACAAGCAACAAGAUUCAUGAAACUGGACAACUGUCUUUAUAACAUUACCAGUGAUAAAACCAGUAAGGAAGGCUGGUUUGCAGUCAUCCGACCUGCCUCUUUACUUUCAUAAAUACGGUUUCUCUCUGAUAGUAAACGGCUUCCAAUUUCAAGCGGAAUGCUACAUCACAAGGAUAAGGAUGUGAAGAGAACCGGUUUCUUUUGUAAUCCUAAACGUUCCGCACAGGAGAUUUUGCGAAUUAAAAGCCAUUAUUUGAAGAAGGGUGCCCAGGAUCCAUCUGGCCGCGGAAAGGUUGCUCCGCAACACAGGCUACGGACCUGCUUCUUUGGGAGAGAACAGAUGCCGGGGCGGGAGGGAAAAAGGGAGAGGCAGACGUCACUUCCCCCUGGCCGCUCCUGCAGCGGAUUGGGCGGCUGAGUGGCAGAAAGGCAGACGGGGACUGGGCAGGGCACUGUCGCUGACAUCACGGAUAAGGCGACUUCUAUGUAGAUGAGGCAGCGCAAGGGCUGCUUCUUCGCCACCUGCUGCUUCGGCACGAAGGAGUUUCCAUGCUGUGGAGCGGGUUCAGGACCGUUGGUAGGACUUGAGAAGCCCAGCUGUGUGUCAGGGCUAGAAGGGCUCGGGAGUGCGCGUGGCAAGUGACCCUUCACCAUGCUGACAGCCUCCAGUCCAAGCGUACCUGAAGCCUUUCUUUUUAAAAAGCUUUCCCAC